UACGUAGGGGGCUAGCGUUGUCCGGAAUCAUUGGGCGUAAAGAGCGUGUGAGGCGGUCCGGUAAGUCCGACUGUGAAAGUCGGGGGCUCAACCCUCGAAUGCCGGUGGAUACUGGUCGGGCUAGAGUGCGGAAGAGGCGAGUGGAAUUCCUGGUGAUGAGCGGUGGAAAUACGCAGAUAUCAGGAGGAACACCUAUUGCGAAGCAGCUCGCUGGGACGUAACUGACGCUGAGACGCGAAGCGUGGGGAGCAAACA
rnacentral:rRNA from 1 species